UAGGGAAUCUUCCACAAUGGACGCAAGUCUGAUGGAGCAACGCCGCGUGAGUGAAGAAGGUUUUCGGACCGUAAAGCUCUGUUGUUGGUGAAGAAGGAUAGAGGUAGUAACUGGCCUUUAUUUGACGGUAAUCAACCAGAAAGUCACGGCUAACUACGUGCCAGCAGCCGCGGUAAUACGUAGGUGGCAAGCGUUGUCCGGAUUUAUUGGGCGUAAAGCGAGCGCAGGCGGAAGAAUAAGUCUGAUGUGAAAGCCCUCGGCUUAACCGAGGAAUUGCAUCGGAAACUGUUUUCUUGAGUGCAGAAGAGGAGAGUAGAACUCCAUGUGUAGCGGUGGAAUGCGUAGAUAUAUGGAAGAAUACCAGUGGCGAAGGCGGCUCUCUGGUCUGCAACUGACGCUGAGGCUCGAAAGCAUGGGUAGCGAACAGGAUUAGAUACCCUGGUAGUCCAUGCCGUAAACGAUGAGUGCUAAGUGUU
rnacentral:rRNA from 1 species